rnacentral:snoRNA from 1 species
GCUGUGAUGACUUUUUUAGCAUUGAUCAUUUGAAAUGAUGAUGCUUUCAUGUCCUCUAAGAAGUUCUGAGCUU